CUACGGGGUGCAGCAGUGGGGAAUAUUGGACAAUGGGGGAAACCCUGAUCCAGCAAUGCCGCGUGUGUGAAGAAGGCCUACGGGUUGUAAAGCACUUUCGGUUGGGAGGACUGCUUCUAGCACUAAUAUUGUUGGAAGUUGACGUUACCUUCAGAAGAAGCACCGGCUGACUCCGUGCCAGCAGCCGCGGUAAUACGGAGGGUGCAAGCGUAUAUCGGAAUUACUGGGCGUAAAGCGCGCGUAGGCGGCUAGAUCAGUCGGGUGUGAAAGCCCCGGGCUUAACCUGGGAACUGCAUCCGAUACUGUCUAGCUUGAGUACAGGAGAGGAGAGUGGAAUUCCACAUGUAGCGGUGAAAUGCGUAGAUAUGUGGAGGAACACCAAUGGCGAAGGCAGCUCUCUGGCCUGAUACUGACGCUGAGGUGCGAAAGCGUGGGGAGCAAACAGGAUUAGAUACCCCCGUAGUC
rnacentral:rRNA from 1 species